GUCUCCGCAGCUCAAUUGGUAGAGUGCUUGCCGCGUUGAGGCAUGGCGUUUCAUUCGCUGGUUCGAAUCCAGCCGAGACU